AGGCACUAUGUGAAGACCAGGGAUGGAUACAAACGUAAGUCAGCUACCAUGCCUUUCCUCCAGAAAUUUUGUUCUUGUAAAAGAGGGAAAGGAUUGUUAAUGACUAAUCUGUGUUCAUGAGGCACAGAGCCAAGGAAGAGAUGUUGCUGCUGAGCCGGAAGGCCGACUGUGAUCAUCCACGGCUUUUACUAGAACUCCCUCCUCUUCCUCCUCCUCCUCCUCACCCCACUGUCUCCGGGACUCACCCCAAUGCAAACCCAGGUUCUGAGCAUUUGUAGCAAAAUUGCCGCGAUUUGGAGAAGAAGACUGGACUCAGAAUCCUCCCAGGGCCUUGAAAGUUCAUCUCCAACCUGAGAUAAUCCAAUUGUAAACUUGCUUUCCACUUAUCAUAUUAAUAUCGGAUGGAAAUACUAAAAAAAGAUGGAAAAUGUUAGGAAGAACUUUGAUAUUAAAGUUGUCCACAGUCUGAAUCACAGAUAAGGCAUCACCUUGUCUGCUUACUGCCAUAGUGAAUUAGGCAACUAACUAUAAGCAACAGAGAUCGUGAAGGGGCUAAGAGAAAUAGGAACAAUUUUCUUCUUCCCAGG